rnacentral:rRNA from 1 species
AACGAACGCUGGCGGCAUGCCUAACACAUGCAAGUCGAACGACACCUUCGUGUCUAGUGGCGCACGGGUGCGUCACGCGUGGGAACCUGCCCUUAGGCUCCGAAUUACUCCUUGAAAGGGGUGCUAAUAUCGGAUAAUUUCCUCGUACACCAGAUUUAUCGACUUUGUAUGGGCCCGCGUUGGAUUAGCUUGUGGGUAUGGUAAGAGCCUACCAAGGCGUCGAUCCUUAGCUGGUCUGAGAGGAUGAUCAGCCACACUGGGACUGAGACACGGCCCAGACUACUACGGGAGGCAGCAGUGGGGAAUAUUGGACAAUGGGGGAAAGCCUGAUCCAGCAAUGCCGCGUGAGUGAUGAAGGCCUUAGGGUUGUAAAGCUCGUUUACACGGGAUGAUAAUGACAGUACCGGGAGAAUAAGCUCCGGCUAACUCCGUG